rnacentral:rRNA from 1 species
AUUGAACGCUGGCGGCAGGCCUAACACAUGCAAGUCGAACGAGUGGCGGACGGGUGCGUAAUGUCUGGGAAACUGCCUGAUGGCGGGGGAUAACUACUGGAAACGGUAGCUAAUACCGCAUACCAUCAGAUGUGCCCAGAUGGGAUUAGCUUGUGGGUGGGGUAACGGCUCACCAGGGCGACGAUCCCUAGCUGGUCUGAGAGGAUGACCAGCCACACUGGAACUGGGACCCGGUCCAGACUCCUACGGGAGGCAGCCGGGGGGAAUAGUGCACAAUGGGCGAAAGCCUGAUGUAGCCAUGCCGCGUGUAUGAAGAAGGCCUUCGGGUUGUAAAGUACUUUCAGCGGGGAGGCGUUACCCGCAGAAGAAGCACCGGCUAACUCCGUGCCAGCCGCCGCGGUAAUAC